rnacentral:rRNA from 1 species
GAUGAACGCUAGCGGCAGGCUUAAUACAUGCAAGUCGAGGGGCAGCAUGAUUGUAGCAAUACAAUUGAUGGCGACCGGCAAACGGGUGCGGAACACGUACACAACCUCCCAAUAAGUGGGGAAUAGCCCAGAGAGAUUUGGAUUAAUACCCCGUAACAUAACGAUGUGGCAUCACAUUGUUAUUAUAGAUUUUUCGCUUAUUGAUGGGUGUGCGGCUGAUUAGAUAGUUGGCGGGGUAACGGCCCACCAAGUCUACGAUCAGUAGCUGAUGUGAGAGCAUGAUCAGCCACACGGGCACUGAGACACGGGCCCGACUCCUACGGGAGGCAGCAGUAAGGAAUAUUGGACAAUGGACGCAAGUCUGAUCCAGCCAUGCCGCGUGAAGGAUUAAGGUCCUCUGGAUUGUAAACUUCUUUUAUAAGGGACGAAAAAAGGCUUUUCUAAGUCGUCUGACGGUACCUUAUGAAUAAGCACCGGCUAACUCCGUGCCAGCCGCCGCUGUAAGAC